CAACUACUCCCUCUAUCCCAAAUUUCUUGUCUUAGAUUUGUCUAGAUACGGAUGUAUCUAAUACUAAAAUGUGACUUGAUACAUCCGUAUCUAGAAAAAUCUAAGACAAGAAUUUUGGGACGGAGGGAGUACUUU
rnacentral:pre_miRNA from 1 species